rnacentral:lncRNA from 1 species
AUGAGUGCACACGCACACGCACACGCCGGGAGGGAGACAGGGGUUCCCAGCCCCUGCGGUGAACAUCCUGAUCCUCAACUCUGUGAAGCAAUUAAAGAUCCUCACAUAGGCGAUUCAAGUCUUCCAAAACACUCCUUCUGUUGCCUUCAGAAGAUCCUGCAUAAAAGUCACCUUCGGGAUUGGUGUUUGAGUCCACACGUGUGGGGUUCAGACAUGAGAUUCCAGAUAAACAACACCCAUGAGGUGACCCGUGGAGCAUGCAAUACAAUAAGCUGGGGUACUUGUAAAUUUUGGAUUCCUGGGUCUCGCAUGAGAAGAGCGCCUCUUUCUUAA